rnacentral:SRP_RNA from 1 species
GCCUUGACCAUGCAAAACCAGUGGCGGGUGCCUGUGAUCCCAGCGCCCGGGAAGGCUGAGGCCGACAGAUCGCUUGAGCUCAGGAGUUCUCGGCUGCAGGGGGCUAUGCCGAGUGGUGUCUGCACUGAAGGUGGCAUUGACAUGGGGGUCCUUGGGGAGCUGGGGGUCCUCGAAUUGCCUGAGGAGGAGCAAACCAGCCCAGGUCAGGAAUGGAACAGGUCAAAGGCCCUAUGCCGCUCAGUAGUGGGAUGGCACCUGUGAACAGCCCCAGGGUAAGACAGGGAGACUUGGACUCUCUUUAUGCUGCUC